GUUGCUCUUGGGUGGCCGCGGCGCCCGCUCCCUCUGAAUUCGCCGGGCAGGGAUACAGCCGCCCGGGGCCUCUUGCUCGUGCUUGGUUUUCCGGACCUUGCUUCCUAAAGGGUCUUUAGGGGUUCCCGGACUCCUCCGCCUGGGAGCCUCUAUCCGCCUGGGAGCCUCUAUGCGCCCCGCAAAGCCCCCGGCAGAGCCGAGGGGAGGCUUCAUUGGCGACCUGGUGGGGCCUCGCGGCCCUGCUCCCUGACGUCAGCGCCGCCGCGGUGAUUUAACAGCUUUUGUUUUGGGCAGAAGAACCUAUGGGCACAAAAAGCAGGAACGAGUAGCGGUGGCUGAAGAACGAGCAGGAGCUUGAAUUUCAGUUUUCUUAUGAGGAAUUUUCCAGAAAAGAUAUCUUCACUGUGAAAUAACUAAAUAAAUGCCCACUCAGUACAGUCACUGUCUCCCUUUUGGAACUUGAUGGCACCUUAAGCCCAGGUUUGCCUCCACUCUAGAAACUCAUCAGAGUGAUGCCCUUCUCAAAUGGGGGAGGUCCCAAAGCGGAUAUCCUGGCAGUGUGAAAGGCCGGCUAAAGGUUUGUGCCAAGAGGAUCUGUGGAAUGCAUCUCCUACAGCUGGUGCUGCUGAGUAACCACUCUGAUCUGGCAUCUUCUUUGAUCAAGUUACAGAGCAGAGUUUCCAGGGCUGGGGAUUGAAGUCCUGCCUCCUCCCUUUGUCUCUGGUUGUCCUCGGUAAUGUUUUUCCCUCAAGUUUUGUUCUCAAAGAAUUCCAGAUAUGAUUUUUUUCCAGACAAAAAUACCUGCUACAUGCUUCCUUCUGUAUGAAUACAUGAGACCUACCUUCAUUCAUGUUUCCUCUAUGAAGCUUUCCCUGCACUCCAAACACAGAGCUGAGACUUCCACCUAAUGUAGAAAGCUAGCACGAGCCGGCGCUGACAGAUGGAAGACUUGAGAUGUUACAAGAUUAUAUAUGGAAACACAAAAGGAGUGGAGUUGCUGGGUCAUAUGGCAAUUCAUUUGAGGAACUGAGAAGCUUAUUCCAUGGAGGCUGAACUGUUUUAUAUUCCCACCAGCAACGUUAGAGACGGGGUUUCACCGCGUUAGCCAGAAUGGUUUCUAUCUCCUGACCUCAUGAUCCGCCCACCUCGGCCUCCCAAAGUGCUGGGAUUACAGGCGUGAGCCACUGUGCCUGGCCAAACGCUGGUAGGUUUUGAGUGAGACCACAUUACAUUUAAAUAUAUUUACAAUGUUUUCUGCUCUAUUCUUUAGUAGACUUUUCCUCACGUGGUCCUACGCAUUUCUUUCUAAGUUUAUUUUCAUAUAGCCUAUCCCUGUCUACAAUUUAAAUUGGGAUCUUCUAUAUUCUAGUUAUUAUUUGUAAAUAAGAAAACUACUGACUUUUUUCUAGUAUAUUUUCUCAGAAUAGGAUUUUCUAUUUUUCUAUAAAAUGACCAAUGUUAUGAAGCUUCGUAAGUUUUGUCAAAGUGAUACACACAUACAGCAAAAAAUCAAAUAGUACAGAAGUAUAAAAGCAACAACCUCUGCCUUGCCCCUUCUCCACCUUCAGGUCCCCUUCCCAGAUACAAUAAUUUUUAGCUUUUUAUUUUUAAUUAUUCUGGUUGUUACCUACAUAACUCUGGGCAAUAUGGAAAAGUUAUUGAUUUUGUAUAUUAAUUUCAUAAUCAGUUACCUUGAUGAAUUCUCUUGUUUCUAGUAGUUUUUCUUUAGGGUUUUAAAGGGAUACAAUCAUACCAUUUGCAGUUAGUAACCAUUUUAUCUCCUCUUAUUUCCAACUUCGUACUGUUUUCUCUUGUCUAAUUUGUUUUUAAUUGGUGGGUACUUCUAGAACAAGGUUAAAUAAAAGUGGUGUUGGUGGGCGUCCUUAUUUCUGAUAUUAAUGGGAAUGAGUAUAAUGUAUAAAUAUAUAACCAUGAUUUUGGUUUUUUUCCAAGUUUUUAUCAGUAAUGAUUGCUGAGUUUUAUCAAAAUUUUUUUGGCAUCCAUUGAGAGGAUUAUAUAUUACUCUUUGACACAUUAAUGUGGUUAAUUAAAGUAACCAACUUAUUAACCUUGAAAUAGUCUUAGUUAAAUAAACCCUACUUGUCAAUGCUAUAUCAUUAUUUUAAUAUUGUACUGAACAUUUUACAAAGGUGUUUCACCAUAAGGCAUAUUGAUCUGUAAUUUUUUUUUUUCUGUUGAACUUGCUAUUGUCAGGUUUUGGUGUAUUAUGUUGGUUUUGGAGAAUAAAUUUAAAAGUUUCCUUUAUGUUAUCUAUACAUUGCCUGAAAAGAGUUUAAAUAGCAUUGAAAAUGAUCUCUUCUUUGAAGAUUUAACCAAUUUCACCUGUAAAUCUGUCUGUGCUUUGUAAUUUUGGUGAUACUGUUGACUCAAAUUCCAAAAGCAGUAAAUGCAGUGUUUUAUAUUUUUCUAUUAAAAAUGUAAAAUCAAAUUAUAUU
rnacentral:lncRNA from 1 species